AAAACUGAAGUUUUGAUCCCUAU
rnacentral:snRNA from 1 species